GCUGUGAUGGCCGAGUGGUUAAAGGGCGUUGGACUUGAAAUACAAUGGGGUUUCCCUCGUAGGUUCAAAACCUACUCACAGCG